GUCUUUUUGUGUUUAAUAAUAAGUCUGACCUGCCCUAUGUAUAAAUAAAUGGCCGCGGUAUUUUGACCGUGCGAAGGUAGCAUAGUAAAUAGUCCAUUAAUUGUGGUCUGGAAUGAAAGGUUCUACAAGGGACGACUUUUUUUAUCUUAUGUUUGAAUUUUAAUUAUCAGUAAAAAUGCUGAUGUGGAUGAGGGGGACGAGAAGACCCUAUAGAGCUUUACAUUUUUGUUAUUUGUAGUAGUAUUUAAAAUAAUUUUGUGUUUUGUUGGGGCGACAAUAAAUUUAAACAUUUAUUAAUAAUUCUGUUUUAUAGGUUUAUAUGAUCCAUUAUUAAUGAAUUAAGACUAAGUUACCUUAGGGAUAACAGCGUAAUUUUAUUUUAGAGUUCUUAUCGACAAUUAAGAUUGCGAC
rnacentral:rRNA from 1 species